rnacentral:tRNA from 1 species
GUUUUAAUAGUUUAGUUAAAACCCUGGUCUUGUAAAUCAGAAACGGAAAAAUCUUCCUUAAAACACCA